rnacentral:ncRNA from 1 species
GGUCACGAGUGACAGCGAUCAAGGCCCCGGCCCGCUGUCCGGCAACCCUCCAACCGUCGGCGGGGUGCCCCGGGUGAUGACCGGGCCGCAGGCAGCGAGGUCUGUGGCAAGCACGGUUC